rnacentral:tRNA from 1 species
GUCGCGUUGGCCGAGUGGCUAAGGCGAUGGACUAGAAAUUCAUUGAAAAUUUUCCACGCUGGUUCAAAUGUUGCUCACAACG